rnacentral:rRNA from 1 species
AGAGUUUGAUCCUGGCUCAGAAUCAACGCUGGCGGCGUGCCUAACACAUGCAAGUCGAACGCGAAAGGGGAGCAAUCCCUGAGUAGAGUGGCAAACGGGUGAGUAACACGUGGGUGACCUGCCUCAGAGUGGGGGAUAACGUCCCGAAAGGGACGCUAAUACCGCAUAACAUCCUGCCUUUGGAAAGGCGGAGAUCAAAGCCGGGGAUCGCAAGACCUGGCGCUUGGAGAGGGGCCCGCGUCUGAUUAGCUAGUUGGUAGGGUAAUGGCCUACCAAGGCGACGAUCAGUAUCCGGCCUGAGAGGGCGGACGGACACACUGGGACUGAGACACGGCCCAGACUCCUACGGGAGGCAGCAGUGGGGAAUUGUUCGCAAUGGGCGCAAGCCUGACGACGCAACGCCGCGUGGAGGAUGAAGAUCUUCGGGUCGUAAACUCCUGUCGAGCGGGACGAACACUUGUCCGGUUAACACCUGGACAGGCUGACGGUACCGCUAAAGGAAGCCCCGGCUAACUCCGUGCCAGCAGCCGCGGUAAUACGGGGGGGGCAAGCGUUGUUCGGAAUUACUGGGCGUAAAGGGCUCGUAGGCGGCCAACUAAGUCGGACGUGAAAUCCCCAGGCUCAACCUGGGAACUGCGUCCGAUACUGGAUGGCUUGAAUCCGGGAGAGGGAUGCAGAAUUCCAGGUGUAGCGGUGAAAUGCGUAGAUAUCUGGAGGAAUACCGGUGGCGAAGGCGGCAUCCUGGACCGGCAUUGACGCUGAGGAGCGAAAGCCAGGGGAGCAAACGGGAUUAGAUACCCCGGUAGUCCUGGCCCUAAACGAUGAAUGCUUGGUGUAACGGGUAUCGAUCCCUGUUGUGCCGAAGCUAACGCAUUAAGCAUUCCGCCUGGGGAGUACGGUCGCAAGGCUGAAACUCAAA